CGGGGAAUAUUGGGCAAUGGGCGCAAGCCUGACCCAGCAACGCCGCGUGAGGGAAGAAGGUCUUCGGAUUGUAAACCUCUGUCCUUGGGGACGAAAAAAAUGACGGUACCCAAGGAGGAAGCUCCGGCUAACUACGUGCCAGCAGCCGCGGUAAUACGUAGGGAGCGAGCGUUGUCCGGAAUUACUGGGCGUAAAGGGUGCGUAGGUGGCGCUGCAAGUCAGAUGUGAAAUCCCCGGGCUUAACUCGGGGGGUGCAUUUGAAACUGCGGUGCUUGAGUGCAGGAGAGGAAAGCGGAAUUCCUAGUGUAGCGGCGAAAUGCGUAGAUAUUAGGAAGAACACCAGUGGCGAAGGCGGCUUUCUGGACUGUAACUGACGCUGAUGCACGAAAGCGUGGGGAGCAAACAG
rnacentral:rRNA from 1 species